GAAGGGCUGUUGCUAUGCCUAACCACAGCCGUGUUCUUAGUUCUAUCAAACCAAGGUAACCAUGGUUCUUGUCUCAGUCAAUUAUGGAAAAUCUUCCACAUGCAUGUGUUUGGAAACACGAGGAUUUGUUUGUGACUGGCCAUUGAACUGUUAGUUGGGAUGACUUAUGCAGUAGAAGCAUGCAUGAGAGUGAAGGGCUGUUGCUAUGCCUAACCACAGCCGUGUUCUUAGUUCUAUCAAACCAAGGUAACCAUGGUUCUUGUCUCAGUCAAUUAUGGAAAAUCUUCCACAUGCAUGUGUUUGGAAACACGAGGAUUUGUUUGUGACUGGCCAUUGAACUGUUAGUUGGGAUGACUUAUGCAGUAGAAGCAUGCAUGAGAGU
rnacentral:misc_RNA from 1 species